GAAACUUGCCCCGAGAUGAGUUCUCCCUGACUCCCUGAGAGUCCUGAAGGAACGUUGAAGACGACGACGUUGAUAGGCCGGGUGUGUAAGCGCAGCGAUGCGUUGAGCUAACCGGUACUAAUGAACCGUGAGGCUUAACCUUACAACGCCGAAG
rnacentral:rRNA from 1 species